AGAUCUGAGAAAAGCAUUUGAUACCGUACACGAUAUUUUACUUAAAAAGCUUGAAAUAAAUGGAGUACGUGGUGGAUGGUGGUGCAUGGCCGUUCUUAGUUGGUGGAGCGAUUUGUCUGGUUAAUUCCGAUAACGAACGAGACUCUAGCCUAUUAAAUAGGUGCGUGGUUCUCUGCACCUUGCACCCUUCUUAGAGGGACAAGCGGCUCCUAGCCGCACGAAACAGAGCAACAACAGGUCUGUGAUGCCCUUAGAUGUCCGGGGCCGCACGCGCGCUACACUGAAGGAAACAGCGUGUUUUUAUCCCUGUCUGUAAAGACUGGGUAACCCGUGGAACCUCCUUCGUGAUUGGGAUAGGGGCUUGCAAUUGUUCCCCUUGAACGAGGAAUUCCCAGUAAGCGCGAGUCAUAAGCUCGCGUUGAUUAC
rnacentral:rRNA from 1 species